UACAGAGGUCUCAAGCGUUGCUCGGAUUCAUUGGGCGUAAAGGGUGUGUAGGUGGCGCCGUAAGUCGGGUGUGAAAUUUCGGAGCUUAACUCCGAAACUGCAUUCGAUACUGCGGUGCUUGAGGACUGGAGAGGAGACUGGAAUUCAUGGUGUAGCAGUGAAAUGCGUAGAGAUCAUGAGGAAGACCAGUGGCGAAGGCGGGUCUCUGGACAGUUCCUGACGCUGAGGCACGAAGGCCAGGGGAGCAAACGGG
rnacentral:rRNA from 1 species